rnacentral:rRNA from 1 species
CUGGCUCAGGACGAACGCUGGCGGCGUGCUUAACACAUGCAAGUCGAACGGUGAAGCUAGAGCUUGCUCUAGUGGAUCAGUGGCGAACGGGUGAGUAACACGUGAGUAACCUGCCCUGGACUUCGGGAUAACCUCGGGAAACCGAAGCUAAUACCGAAUACGAGACGUACAGGCAUCUGUAGCGUCUGGAAAGAUUUAUCGGUCCGGGAUGGACUCACGGCCUAUCAGCUUGUUGGUGAGGUAACGGCUCACCAAGGCUUCGACGGGUAGCCGGCCUGAGAGGGUGACCGGCCACACUGGGACUGAGACACGGCCCAGACUCCUACGGGAGGCAGCAGUGGGGAAUAUUGCACAAUGGGCGCAAGCCUGAAUGCAGCGACGCCGCGUGAGGGAUGACGGCCUUCGGGUUGUAAACCUCUUCAGUAGGGAAGAAGCGAAAGUGACGGUACCUGCAGAAGAAGCACCGGCUAACUACGUGCCAGCCGCCGC